rnacentral:antisense_RNA from 1 species
GACCCAGCAGGAAGGCGCCAUCAUGAGAAAGGGGGCUCUCACAGGACACCAACUCUUGAUCUUGGACUUCUCAUCCUCCAGAACUGUGAGAAAUAAGUUUCCAUUAUUUAUAAGCCACCCAGUUUAUGGUGUUUAUAAAGAGCUGAGACAAACACCACUAAAUCUUGCCCUUAUAAUCCUGUUGAUAAUUACGCAAGAGUAAAUUUUGUUCUGGUCUCAACCAAAUGAUUAAAACUCUGAAUCAGUGGAAUCUGAACUCUGAGCCCUGCUUACAUCCUGCUGGCUGGGAUGGGGAAUGAGGCUGGGGUGAGCAGACACUUAGAAUAUGAGGACAAGAGAGGAGCAGCUGCUCUACCAGCCCUGCACUGCCCACCCAGAAUGCCACCAGGGAGAGAACUCAGCUUCUCUGUUGCUGAAGCCACAGACAUCUUGGGUCUCUGUUCUGUACAGCUGAACUGCAUCCUGAUUGAUUUGGGAAUGAUGCCUAUUACCA